ensembl:snRNA U2 U2 spliceosomal RNA
AUCACUUCUCAGCCUUUUGGCUAAGAUCAAGUAUAGUAUCUGUUCUUAUCAGUUGAAAACGUUUUUAAGUUAGGGUGGGCAUAAAUUUUUAUUAAGUCCUUCUUACAUGUUAAUAAAAAUGUCCAUACAUAGUUAGUAAUGAAAGACUA